GACGAACGCUGGCGGCGUGCUUAACACAUGCAAGUCGAACGGAAAGGCCCUGCUUUUGUGGGGUGCUCGAGUGGCGAACGGGUGAGUAACACGUGAGUAACCUGCCCUUGACUUUGGGAUAACUUCAGGAAACUGGGGCUAAUACCGGAUAGGAGCUCCUGCUGCAGGGUGGGGGUUGGAAAGUUUCGGCGGUUGGGGAUGGACUCGCGGCUUAUCAGCUUGUUGGUGGGGUAGUGGCUUACCAAGGCUUUGACGGGUAGCCGGCCUGAGAGGGUGACCGGCCACAUUGGGACUGAGAUACGGCCCAGCCUCCUACGGGAGGCAGCAGUGGGGAAUAUUGCACAAUGGGCGGAAGCCUGAUGCAGCAACGCCGCGUGCGGGAUGACGGCCUUCGGGUUGUAAACCGCUUUCGCCUGUGACGAAGCGUGAGUGACGGUAAUGGGUAAAGAAGCACCGGCUAACUACGUG
rnacentral:rRNA from 1 species